AACAGCAAGUGUAUCCACCAGCUCUUUGCUUGACGAAUGAACGCUGUAGUGCUGCUUUGCGUUGUUCGCUGUGCUUUUUCAAAUACAUUCGUGUGCUGCUGCGCCUGCCUUUGCUUCUGCUGCUGCUUUUGCUUCUACUGCUGCUUUUACUCUGCUGCUGCUUGUGCUCUGCUGCUGCUUUUGCCUUUUCUUGGCUGCCUUGUUGGCUGGCUUGGCUUGGCUUUUGCAGUUUGGUUAGCUUUGGGGGCGCGCAUGCAGUCCAGUCUUCGUUUCGCCGUUAUCCGCGCUGAUUCGUUGCUCGAAAUACAGCGGAGAUUGUUGUGUCGUGUUAGCGCGUUGCUACUCGAAUUCAGUGAGUGUUUUCAUACUUAUAUACAUAUACGUAACACACAUAUUGACAGCGUGGCCGUUGCUGAUGGUGACAGGUGCGCGUGUGUAAGCAACAAAUAAAAUAUUGAAAAGGUGAUAUAUGUAUAUAAAUAAAUAAUAGUGCUGAAAGGUCACAUAAUUUUUCAAAAUUUAUUUUUUUGGCAUAUUUUAAAGUUUUAUAAAGAAUUUUUGUGUUUCUUAAUUUUUUUGAAUAUUUUUCGUGCGCGUCGUGCCAGUGAACUGUGUGUUGAAUGCAAAGCGGCGCGGCGUACAAAAUAGUCGGCGGUGUGUCAGUCAGCCAACGUGUUGUUGCUGUAGUGUUAACAAAAAAUCACUCGUUCUUAAGUAAUUUGCAUAAAAAAUUGUGAAUUUUAUUGCUGAUAUCGAAUUGGUCAUUGAAGAGCGCGUGUAAAGUAUGCAGCGAGCGAGAAGCGGAAAAGUGAAAAAGAGAAAAUAACGAAACUACUUUCAUAAAGUGCCGCAGUGCAUAGCACAAUCGCACGUUCUUCAGCUGACCUGCCGAUUGCGUGCGACGCGAAUUUGUGGGAGAAAACGUGCCAAGCGGCUGGCGGAAAAGCGGUUCAAAACAAAACGCUGAUUAAAAUUAAUAAUCCGGUGAAACUAUAAACUCAAUUAUCCAAAAGUGUAUUACGCUUAUGUAUACCAGUCUAAAACGGCUAUAAUAAAGCAUUUCACUCCAUAUAAUCAUUUGCGAAAAAUUCUCAAAAGAAAAAGAAAAGGCAAACAGCAACAUCCCAAAAGACUAAUAAAAACCGUGAUUGUGUAAAAAGAAGCGUUUGCCAGUGAGCAUUGGUUGUAAAAGUAAAAUAGCAAAGUAAAAUAUGUGCAUAAUACACACAUAGCUGUAACUCAACAAAAUCAAUGCGAAGCAAGUUACACGCCACCAAGGAGAAACCUGUCACUCAUAGACGCGGUAACCAACGGCGACGCACAACAACAACAGCCUCAUUAACAUACCGGAUUCGGUGCCAAAACUAAGCGGAAUAUAUAUUAAUUAAAGAGUGGCAGAAGAUUUAACAAAGUAAAAUUGCAAGAAACAAAAAUUACAAAAACAAGAGCAACAAAAAUUGCCGUCAUAAAUUUCACUUUCUUUCGACUGAUCGACAGUUUAGAAUUAAUUUCGAUUUGGAAACACGAAGGUGAACUCUGCAGUCUCCCGCGGCGCGUAUCUACCAACAAAUUGUAGCGAUACAGAAUUAAUUUGCGUUUAACGAUAUAUAUAAACUUCCAACUAGGAGUAACUAGAUCUUCGACUAGACUAGAAAAUAAACAUUGUUUUAAGAUAACGAACGAAGUGCUGUUAUUCAUUUGAUUACAGACGAACACGUUACUUUUUGCUGGGGAAAAUAGGUAAGCAAGCUUUUGAGAAGGAUGAAAACAUUUCAUCAAUUUAUUCAAGUGCUGAUCGCAGGUAUAUCAAAUCGAGUUAAAUUUAAAUAAACAUAAUCAGCCUUACUGUAACCUUCAUGUGAAACGAUAUUCUGAAUGAAAAAAUAACACAUUCCUGUUUUUUGUAUGAUGAAUUUUUAUUUCCACACGAAAGAAAAUUUCAUAUCGUGAAUUUCGUGUGAAUUAAAACUUAUAUUCGAAUUUCGGCAUUUAGGAUUUUUUUAUUACUCGUAUUGGAGCUAUAAAUGAAGAUUCCGUUUAUAAAGCUAAUUACGCGACUAUUUUAGCAUAAAAGCAUAAAUUAUCCACACAAAAAUUUUCAUUGCUAGCCCGACUUGCUUUCCCCACCACGGAAUAAGAUGUUGAAGGGAUAAUUUAAUAAAAUAACUUGAACGGACGCACAUUGGACAGCUUAACAAUUUCGUUCUAUUUUGCCAUCGAUUUCGAUGGUGGCCCCAUGAUAUCCAGGGAAUCAUAUUACUAUUCCAAAACGAAUGCACUUUCUCCUUAUUUUCUACUUAAAUCUGUUUACUAUAGCAGGAUUUUCCACCUAAAACUUCAACUGUGUUUUGUUAAUAUGCCAUAGGUUAGGUUUAAUGGCUGUUUCCCACAAGAGGAGGAAUACACUUAGACUAUAAGGAUAGUCCUUUGGGAAGUCAAAAAAUAAACCCUAAUAGAUAUUAAGGCUCGAAAAAGCAAAGUGAACUUACUACAAAUCUGCAUAUGUUUUUUACUUCUAAAUUCGCUAAUUCGCAAGGAUAAAGUUUUUAAUGGGUCAACGACCCCCAUAACUAUAGAAGUAUUACUGAGGGCGAAGAGCGCCCCAGACAUCUCACGAUUUUCCUUAGGUCAGAAGGAUCUUGCGACUGACCAGCUUUUAUCCAGAUCAGCAGAAGCUCAACGAUCCUGUAGAUCACAAGGGCGUAGGUGGUGCUCGUAUUUAUUCGCUUUCUAUUGUAGUUAAGACUUACGUGCCUAGUCUUGAAAGCUCAUUAGCCUUACGUUAUUACCUAGGAUUCCUCCGUGACCAGGCAUCUAAUAACUGGUAUCGACUGAAAGUAAGGAUAGGCAUUUUUUACCAGUAUCAGGCGCGUAGUCAGCGAGCACUUACUACCAGAGUGAUUCGUCACUUCACCGAAGAAUGCUACACUUUGAUGUAGAUCCAGUGCUAUUUUUUAGCAGUCACUUGCGCUUUAAAAAGGCUAAAAUAGCCGUGAAGCAUUUUGAAGCCUCCACCAAAAAAAAACCGCCGAAUAUUAAUUUAAAUUUGUGUUCAUAUAGCCAAAGAUCUACUUAAUAUACGUAGACCUUAAUUCGUAUUAAAAAAGUUUUUAAAAUUAAUUAAAUUGUUAAUAUUGAUACUUGUACCCAACAAUUUAUUUUGUGAACAAAUUUUGCUGUUUCACAUGAACAAAAUUACAUUUACAAUAAGGGAAAAUUUUCGAAGAUGUGAGUUUUUCCCUAUGUGAAAUAUAUGAUACGAAAAACAAAAAUGCGUUAGUUUUUUCAUUGGAAAUGUCGUUUACAUGAAGUUUACCAUAAGGCUUAAUAUGAAUUAUGGUAUGCUAGUUCUUUGAAUAUAUGAAACCAUAGUGAAAUUAUUAUUCAGUGGAGGGUGGAGGGCACUUCAAAAGUCUUCAAGACUAUUUUAGCGUUUUUAAAGUGCAAGUGGUUGCGUUAAACGUAGCAACGGAUCUAUUGCUUCGAAGUGUAACAUCCUUCAGAUUAAUGACAAUUCAGGAAAUCGUAGGACUACACAUGUCAGUCUUAUCGACAGGAGAAUGGAAACAAGUAGGAGCACUACCUCUCCUAUUGUUAUUUUCUACUGGCCAUUUGGGCUUCAGCUGAGCUGUACAAGAGCUAGUCGGUAUCAAGAUCCUUCUGCCCAAGAGAGAGCUCUUUGUCCUCAGUAAUAUUUUUUUCUUAGUUGAAGGGAUAAUUGUCCCUUUAAAAUUGAAACCCGGUGGUAGCUGCUGAAGUUGUCUGGAAGAAGACGAGGUGGAAAUGUAUCAACAUUUCUAUAUGGAGUGAAAAUUUAUGCUUUACAACGGUCGCGUAAUUGGCUUUAUAACCGGAAUCUUCAUAGUUAGCCCCAAUACGAAUCAUCAAAAAACCAAAAC